rnacentral:rRNA from 1 species
GAUGAACGCUGGCGGCGUGCUUAACACAUGCAAGUCGAACGAGCGAGAGAGAGCUUGCUUUCUCGAGCGAGUGGCGAACGGGUGAGUAACGCGUGAGGAACCUGCCUCAAAGAGGGGGACAACAGUUGGAAACGACUGCUAAUACCGCAUAAGCCCACAGGUCGGCAUCGACCAGAGGGAAAAGGAGCAAUCCGCUUUGAGAUGGCCUCGCGUCCGAUUAGCUAGUUGGUGAGGUAACGGCUCACCAAUACUUCGAUGGGUAGCCGGCCUGAGAGGGUGAACGGCCACACUGGAACUGAGACACGGUCCAG